UCUUCUUUCAGUCCGACGUCCAAACACAUCACCUGUCAUUCAGGGCCUGAAGGGGCGGGGCUUUAAACGUCUUCCAAUCAGGGACGCCGGGCUGGAAACCUUCCAAUCAGACAUGCAGCUGGAGCGGACACGGCGGCUUCCGGGUUUGGCGGGGCCUUUGUCUCUGGCUGCGGCGGGAGCUCCGGGUCUCGUCUUCCACGCUCUGUGUCCUCUGUUCCAGGAGGCCCAGUUCUAUGGCCCUGUGACCUGCAGGUAUUGGGAGAACCACAGCUAAAACGCCAGGACCUCCCGGAAGCCUAGAAAUGGCACCAUUGACAUUUAGGGAUGUGACUGUAGAAUUCUCUCUGGAGGAGUGGCAAUGCCUGGACACUGUUCAGCGGAAUUUAUAUAGGGAUGUGAUGUUAGAGAACUACAGAAACCUGGCCUUCCUGGGUAUUGCUGUCUCUAAGCCAGACAUGAUCACCUGUCUGGAGCAAGGAAAAGAGCCCUGGAAUAUGAAGAGAUAUGAGAUGGUGGCCAAACCCCCAGUUCUGUGUUCUCCUUUUGCUGAAAACCUUUGGCCCGAGCAAGACAUGAAAGAUUUUUUCCAAAAAGUCAUACUGAGGAGAUAUGAUAAAUGUGGACAUGAGAAUUUACAAUUAAGAAAAGGCUGUAAAAGUAUGGAUGCAUGUAAGGUGUGCAAAGGAGAUUAUCACGGACUUAACCGAUGUCUGAUAACUAUCGAGAGCAAAUUAUAUCAAUGUGAUAAAUAUGUGAAAGUCUUUUAUAAAUUUUCAAAUUCAGGUAGACAUGAGAUAAGACACACUAAAAAGAAAACAUUGAAAUGUAAAGAAUGUGGCAAAUUGUUUUGCAUGCUUUCACAACUAACUCUACAUAAGAGAAUUCAUAUUAAAGAGAAUUCCCACAAAUGUGAAGAAUGUGGAAAAGCCUUUAACCGGUCCUCAUACCUUACUUGACAUAAGAGAAUUCACAGUGGAGAGAAACCCUGCAAAUGUGAAGAGUGUGGCAAGGCUUUUAACCGGACCUCAUACCUUACUCGACAUAAGAGAAUUCACAGUGGAGACAAACCCUGCAAAUGUGAAGAGUGUGGCAAAACCUUUAACCAGUCUUCAUACCUUACUCGACAUAAGAUAAUUCAUAGUGGAGAGAAACCCUACAAAUGUGAAGAAUGUGGCAAAGCCUUUAACCGAUCUUCACACCUUACUCGACAUAAGAUAAUUCAUACUGGAGAGAAACCCUACAAAUGUGAACAGUGUGGCAAAGCCUUUAACCGAUCCUCAUACCUUACCCAACAUAAGAGAAUUCAUACUGGAGAGAGACCCUACAAAUGUAAAGAAUGUGGCAAAGCCUUUAAUGACUUCUCAGCCCUUACUCGACAUAAGACAAUUCAUACUGGGGAGAAACCCUACAAAUGUAAAGAAUGUGGCAAAGCCUUUAAUUACUUCUCAACUCUUACUCGACAUAAGAUAAUUCAUACCGGAGAGAAACCCUACAAAUGUGAACAGUGUGGCAAAGCCUUUAACUGGUCUUCACACCUUACUCGACAUAAGAUAAUUCAUACUGGAGAGAAACCCUACAAGUGUGAACAGUGUGGCAAAGCCUUUAACUGGUCUUCACACCUUACUCAACACAAGAGAAUUCAUACUGGAGAGAAACCCUAUAAAUGUAAAGAAUGUGGCAAAGCCUUUAAGCAGUCCUCAACUUUUACUCAACAUAAGAUUAUUCAUACUGGAGAGAAACCCUACAAAUGUAAAGAAUGUGGCAAAGCCUUUAACGACUUCUCAACACUUACUCAACAUAAGAUAAUUCAUACUGGAAAGAAACCAUACAAGUGUAAAAAUGUGGCAAAGCAUAAGGUAAUUUAUACUGGAAAGAAACCCUACAAAUGUGAAGAAUGUGGCAAACCUUUUAAUUGUUUCUCAAACUUUACUGUACAUAAGAGAAUUCAUGCUAGAGAGAACCCCAACAAAUGAGAAGAAUGUGGCAAUGCUAGUAACCAUUCCUCAAACCUUACUAAACAUAACCCAUGAUGGAGAAAAACCCUAUAAAUGUAAAGAAUGUGUCAAAGCUUUUAACGGUUCCUCAGUCUUUACUAAACAUAAGGGAAUUCAUAAUAGAGAAACCCUACAAAUCUGAAGAAUGUGGGCUGGCUUUUAACAAAUCAUCAACAUUUACUAAGCACAAAAUAAUUAAUACUGGAUGGAAACCCUUCAAAUGGGAUGACUGUGGCAUAGCCUUUACCCAGUUCUCAACUCUUACUAAACAUGAGAAUUCAUGUAGAAGAUAAAGCCUACAAAUAUGAAGAAAGUGAGAAAGCCUUUAAAAGUUCUCACCCCUUAUUACACAUAAUUUAUACUGGACAGAAAUCCUAAAGUGUGAAGAAUGUCACAAAGCCCUUAACAACUUCUCAAUUCUUAAUAGAUACAAGAUGAUUUAUACUGGAGUGAAACGCUACAAUCCUGAAUGAUGUCACAGUGCUUUUAACAACACCUCAAAGUUUUCUAAACAAAAAAUAUAUAUACUAGUGCAAAACUCUAGAGACAUAAAGAAUGUGAAAAAGCUUUUAAAUGGUUUUCACAGUUGAUUGCAGGUAAAAUAAUUUAUACUGGAGAUAACUCCAAGAGUGAAGAAUACGGCAAAACUCCUAACCAGCGUUCACAACUUGUUGCAUAGGGAAGCAUUUAUACUUGAGAAAUGGUGUACAGAUAUAAAGAAUGUGGCAAAGUCAGUAAUAUCUGCCCAUCAUAUUAUGCAACAGCAGAGUUUAUAUUUAAUAAAAGUAUUAUAAAUACAA